GGACCUGUAGUCUAAUGGAAGACGUUCAGUUGACCUAUUCGUACUCCAAUAUGGGAGCUGAAAGCUGCUGGUUCGAAUCCCGCCAGGUCCA